AAUGCCGCGUGUGUGAAGAAGGCCUUCGGGUUGUAAAGCACUUUUGUCCGGAAAGAAAUCCUUGGUUCUAAUACAGCCGGGGGAUGACGGUACCGGAAGAAUAAGCACCGGCUAACUACGUGCCAGCAGCCGCGGUAAUACGUAGGGUGCGAGCGUUAAUCGGAAUUACUGGGCGUAAAGCGUGCGCAGGCGGUUUGCUAAGACCGAUGUGAAAUCCCCGGGCUCAACCUGGGAACUGCAUUGGUGACUGGCAGGCUAGAGUAUGGCAGAGGGGGGUAGAAUUCCACGUGUAGCAGUGAAAUGCGUAGAGAUGUGGAGGAAUACCGAUGGCGAAGGCAGCCCCCUGGGCCAAUACUGACGCUCAUGCACGAAAGCGUGGGGAGCAAACAGGAUUAGAUACCCUGGUAGUCCACGCCCUAAACGAUGUCAACUAGUUGUUGGGGAUUCAUUUCCUUAGUAACGUAGCUAACGCGUGAAGUUGACCGCCUGGGGAGUACGGUCGCAAGAUUAAAACUCAAAGGAAUUGACGGGGACCCGCACAAGCGGUGGAUGAUGUGGAUUAAUUCGAUGCAACGCGAAAAACCUUACCUACCCUUGACAUGGUCGGAAUCCUGCUGAGAGGUG
rnacentral:rRNA from 1 species